AACAAACAACAGCAACAACUUGGCUGUAACACUUGAGAAGUUUAUUGAUUACACAGUCACUUAUGAACUAUGAGUGAAGACCUGUAUGAGUAUGAUUCUGAAGGAACUGAUGGCAGUGAUGCAGUUAUAGAGAUUUCAGAUUCGGACGAAACUUUGCCGCCAUCUGACAAAGAAACACAGCCAUCUCUGGAGGAAUGUGGUCAGGAAGUUGAAUGGUCCCAGUCACCAUAAGAAUAUUUUGAUUAUUAUUUUUAUAUUCCAUCCCAUGGUGAUCGGGGACUAAGAAAACAGUGUAGACAAAUGAGCUUGCAUUCCAGGAGGGGGAAGUUCUAAAUAACUCGUAUACAGCACUGUUGCAGCCAACCGGGUUUCCUUUUCUGUGUGAAAUGUUUAAUAUAUGUAAAAUAUGUUAAUGCAAUCUUUAAUUCUGUUAUAUAAACAAAUAUAUAGUACUUUUUAA